GACAGAGGGUGCGAACGUUGCUCGGAAUUACUGGGCGUAAAGCGCGUGUAGGCGGACUAGUAAGUCGGACGUGAAAUCCCUGGGCUCAACCCAGGAACUGCAUCCGAUACUGCGUGGCUAGAGGUAGGUAGGGGAGAUCGGAAUUCCUGGUGUAGCGGUGAAAUGCGCAGAUAUCAGGAGGAACACCGGUGGCGAAGGCGGAUCUCUGGGCCGUAACUGACGCUGAGGAGCGAAAGCGUGGGGAGCGAACAGG
rnacentral:rRNA from 1 species